GGGCCCGCACAAGCAGCGGAGCAUGUGGUUUAAUUCGAAGCAACGCGAAGAACCUUACCAGGUCUUGACAUCGAUGUAAGCCAGAAGAGAUUCUGGGUGCCUUCGGGCAACAGAAGACAGGUGGUGCAUGGUUGUCGUCAGCUCGUGUCGUGAGAUGUUGGGUUAAGUCCCGCAACGAGCGCAACCCUUGCGGUUGGUUGCUAACAGGUGAAGCUGAGAACUCCAACAGGACUGCCGGGGACAACUCGGAGGAAGGUGGGGACGACGUCAAAUCAUCAUGCCCCUUAUGACCUGGGCUACACACGUGCUACAAUGGUCACUACAAUGAGAAGCGAAAUCGUAAGGUGGAGCAGAUCUGCAAAAAGUGGCCUCAGUUCGGAUUGAGGGGCUGCAACCCGCCCUCAUGAAGUCGGAGUUGCUAGUAAUCGCGAAUCAGCAUGUCG
rnacentral:rRNA from 1 species